rnacentral:rRNA from 1 species
ACAGGGAUUGCCCUAGUAACGGCGAGUGAAGCGGCAACAGCUCAAAUUUGAAAUCUGGCGUCUUUGGCGUCCGAGUUGUAAUUUGCAGAGGGCGCUUUGGCAUUGGCAGCGGUCCAAGUUCCUUGGAACAGGACGUCACAGAGGGUGAGAAUCCCGUACGUGGUCGCUAGCCUUUACCGUGUAAAGCCCCUUCGACGAGUCGAGUUGUUUGGGAAUGCAGCUCUAAAUGGGAGGUAAAUUUCUUCUAAAGCUAAAUACUGGCCAGAGACCGAUAGCGCACAAGUAGAGUGAUCGAAAGAUGAAAAGCACUUUGGAAAGAGAGUUAAAAAGCACGUGAAAUUGUUGAAAGGGAAGCGCUUGCAGCCAGACUUGCCUGUAGUUGCUCAUCCGGGUUUUUACCCGGUGCACUCUUCUACGGGCAGGCCAGCAUCAGUUUGGGCGGUUGGAUAAAGGUCUCUGUCAUGUACCUCCUCUCGGGGAGAUCUUAUAGGGGAGACGACAUGCAACCAGCCUGGACUGAGGUCCGCGCAUCUGCUAGGAUGCUGGCGUAAUGGCUGUAAGCGGCCCGUCUUGAAACACGGACCAAGGAGUCUAACAUCUAUGCGAGUGUUUGGGUGUCAAGCCCGAACGCGUAAUGAAAGUGAACGGAGGUGGGAACCUUUCGGGGUGCACCAUCGACCGAUCCUGAUGUCUUCGGAUGGAUUUGAGUAAGAGCAUAGCUGUUGGGACCCGAAAGAUGGUGAACUAUGCUUGAAUAGGGUGAAGCCAGAGGAAACUCUGGUGGAGGCUCGCAGCGGUUCUGACGUGCAAAUCGAUCGUCAAAUUUGGGCAUAGGGGCCGAAGACUAAUCGAACCUAUCUAGUAGCUGGUUCCUGCCGAAGUUUCCUCAGGAUAGCAGUAACGGUUUUCAGUUUAUGAGGUAAAGCGAAUGAUAGAGGCCUGGGGUUGAACAACCUUCACCUAAUCCUCAAACUUUAAAUAUGUAAGACGUCCUGCUACCUUACUCGAACGGUGACCAGAUCGAAUGUAAUCCGUUAACUAGUGG